UACGUAGGGUGCGAGCGUUGUCCGGAUUUAUUGGGCGUAAAGAGCUCGUAGGCGGUUUGUCGCGUCGGCCGUGAAAUCUCCACGCUUAACGUGGAGCGUGCGGUCGAUACGGGCAGACUUGAGUUCGGUAGGGGAGACUGGAAUUCCUGGUGUAGCGGUGAAAUGCGCAGAUAUCAGGAGGAACACCGGUGGCGAAGGCGGUUCUCUGGGCAUUACCUGACGCUGAGGAGCGAAAGUGUGGGGAGCGAACAGG
rnacentral:rRNA from 1 species